UCAAAAGUUAUUAAGUGGCAUUUGUUCAUAAAAAUUUAAAAAUGGGAAAGUGUAAAGUAAAAAACUGUAAGAAUUAUGAGGGCAAAAAGACUGAAAAACAAAUUAAGUUUUUUAAGCUUCCUAAAGAUGAAAUAUUGCGCGCAAAGUGGUUGACAGCUUGUGGUUUGAAUAAACAAUGUUCUAUGAAUACUGUAAAAGUGUGUUCAGAUCAUUUUGUAGAAUCCGAUUAUUGUUUGAAAGAUGUUUUACUAAACACAACAACCAAAAAAAAACAUUUGAAAAAGGAAGCUGUACCGAGCCAAAAUAUCCCGGAUAUUUAUGAAUAUAUGGAUAAUAAAACUAAUAGGAGAAGCAAGAAAGAACGGCAAAAUUUAAUAAAAAAAGUUUUGAAAUAUCAUGAAGGUUUUAUUGACAGUGAGUUUGAAGCUAUGGAAGUAAUAAAUGAUAAUGCUGCGAAUGUGGCUUCUCCAACAACAUGGAACUUAGAAAAUGCUAAAGAUCGAGAAAUACUGAAAUUAAAAAGAAAGUUGAAAAACGCACAGUCAAAAAUCAAAAUGCUAAAGAAGAUUGUGUCAAGAUGAAAAAGUUUUUGGUUUUAUUCAGGCUAGUGGUGGUCUUCACGACCAUGCCAAUCCAUUGGAGUUUUAGUAUAGAGGUAGCAGUCAAAAAGUUAGUACAUGUAGUAACGUAGAAGGGGAACGUAGAAGAGGGUUUUGAAACUGAAACUUCAACAUGGCAAUUGCUUAGGGA